rnacentral:rRNA from 1 species
GAUGAACGCUGGCGGCGUGCCUAAUACAUGCAAGUCGAGCGAACAGACGAGGAGCUUGCUCCUUUGACGUUAGCGGCGGACGGGUGAGUAACACGUGGGUAACCUACCUAUAAGACUGGGAUAACUUCGGGAAACCGGAGCUAAUACCGGAUAAUAUUUCGAACCGCAUGGUUCGAUAGUGAAAGAUGGCUCUGCUAUCACUUAUAGAUGGACCUGCGCCGUAUUAGCUAGUUGGUAAGGUAACGGCUUACCAAGGCAACGAUACGUAGCCGACCUGAGAGGGUGAUCGGCCACACUGGAACUGAGACACGGUCCAGACUCCUACGGGAGGCAGCAGUAGGGAAUCUUCCGCAAUGGGCGAAAGCCUGACGGAGCAACGCCGCGUGAGUGAUGAAGGUCUUCGGAUCGUAAAACUCUGUUAUGAGGGAAGAACAAACGUGUAAGUAACUGUGCACGUCUUGACGGUACCUAAUCAGAAAGCCACGGCUAACUACGUG